UUUUACAAACUCUGAACAUACCUACAAAACAAUUGGACUGAAUCAAAAUGUAGUCAACUAGAAGCCUGCAUUACCCGGUUGUGAUGAAGCAAGAACUUUCUACUUCCCUGAACUUUUGGACAUGCAGCUGUUGAGAUGUUCUAUUGUCAUCACACACUCAUUACUCGAAAAUGGGACUCUAAAGUGUAUGUCCGUUUGGCACAUUUCCUGCAUCAAGUAAAGGCUCUAUCUCCAAUGGGUAACCCAAGCCAGAAACAUAAAAAUCAGGUGAGAAGUUUGAAUACCCUGAGACCAUCAUGCUGUGAGGAAACGCAAGCUAGCUACGUGAGAGGCCACAUGGAGAAAGACAUACCUGGCCAGCCAGCAGCUAUUCCAGGCCUCCUAGCAGAAGCGCCGCACGUGACCCUGAAGAAUUUAUACAAGAUUUCUGAGCCUGAAUUGAGUUUAAUAUCAAGAUGAUAAUCAAGUCAUGUCAGAUUUCCACUUCCAAGAAGGUGGUAUAGAUCUACUUUUCUCUAUUCCUCCUGCUAAAUACAACUAAAAAUCCUGGGCACUAUAUACAAGAAAAUGUAUGAAGACUAUGAAAAGGUGGAGAGAAGAAGGAAGGCUAGCUAUGGACCUUGGACCCAAAAAAUGUCACGGUGGUGAGUUCUCCAUUUUGUUUUGUUUUGUUUUGUUUUUUUUCCCCUAUUAAAGUCCAUACUUGGAGCUAAAGAAACCAUCAACUUGGAACU